AAGGCAGCAUUGGAACCAUCUUUAGGGCAAAGCUUUAAAGAUUUUUCUUUUUAAAUUUCUUGUCUGUGCUUUUUGCAAGCUUAAGCCACUGAUGAUGUGCCUGCCUGGUUUUUGCACAGGCUCAGCUAGUUUUCAAAAGAAAGCAAUAAAUAGUGGGUCCUUCUGUGCUUGGGCAAAUAAACACAGUUACGGCCGGAUGGGCUUCUAGGCUGGGGCUGUUUCCAGCAUGUCCCUGGGGGCCAAGCCCUGAGCCCAGAGGUGUGAUGGGCUGGGGAUGCCCUGGACCAACAUACAGGAGGGAAUGGUCUUCCGGAGGAUGACGGCGGGUGACCCAGGCAAGGCACUUCGCCUCUGAGCCUCAUUUUACUCAACUAUAAAAUGGGUAUAUCCAUAGUGUUUUCCGCAUAGAGGCUGGGAUGAAUCAUUUGUUUUAAAGUGUUCCCAAACGCCGGGCGUGGUGGCACGUGCCUGUAGUUCCCAGCUACUUGGGAGGCUGAGGCUGGAGGAUCACUUGAGUCCAGGAGUUCUAGGCUGUAGUGUGCUAUGCUGAUCGGGUGUCCACACUAAGUUCAGCAUCAAUAUGGUGACCUCCCGGGAGCGGGGGACCACCAGGUUGCCUAAGGAGGGGUGAACUGGCCCAGGUCGGAAACGGAGCAGGUUAAAGUGUUCAUACAGUACCUGGCCCACAGUAAGUGUCCAGGAAGUGUUAGCCGAUACUAUUGUGUUUCAGACAUGACUGCUGCUUAUGUUAUUAUUAUGAAGUAAAAGUUACCCAUGUUCAACUGCUGAUCAAAAAAGAAAGAAAGAAAAUUCAGGGCAAAUCAUGCCUACCUUAAAGCUUUUGAGCAGCCAUCCUCUCACCUGGACAGCCCUCCCAGCCCUCUUCAUUUUCCAAGACCACUCUUGCCCCCUACACUGACAUUUCCUAUCUGCUAACACAGCUGCCAAAUGAGCCCUUUAAAAAUGUAAAGCAGGUCUCCCCCGAUUCAAGCCCUCCCAUGGUUUCCAGGACACUCAGAAUAAAUCCUGAAUCCUAAAUCCUCCCGUGGGUCCCCUCAUCUUCUAACUCCAUUUCACACCUCCCUUGCCCUUGCUCCUUCACCCCAGCCACACUGGCCUCAUUUCUGUGCCUCAAAUAUCACAAGCUCGUUCCUGCCUCAGGACCUCUGGCCUGGCCGCUCCCUCUGCCCAGGAAGCCAUUCCCCCCCACCCGAGAGCUGCAUCAUUGGCACCUCCUCUCAGUGCCAGCCCUGACCUACCCGACUCCAUCCUGUGUGUGUUACAGUUGGGGACAGCCCUGGAAGGUGGGUGCUGAGCGGUCUCCCCAGCUGCCCCAACCAGGCGGGGUCCCACCCCUCAGCAAUCCUGCAGCUGCAGGGAAGAGGUGAGGUGGGAUCCUCACCACUGCGAGGGAUGAUUUUCCUAGGGGCUAGGUAACUAAGUAACUUUUUUCACUGAAUAUGAAUUACUUGCAUCAUUUAAAAAUAAGUUGUUUAAAAUUAAAAUUGUGAAUCCCUCCCACCAAGGGAACAUAAGUUCUGGAAGGGGACACCUGGGAGGCCCCAGAUGACACCUUUGGGCAUACCCUGACAUCCAGCCAGGGUGGGGUCCUGGGAAAAGGCGGACCAGGCGCCCAGCUCGGGGUGAUCUGUGGGCUAGGGCAGCAGGGAGGAGGGGAGCAGGAGGGAGGGGAGCUCGCUGGGAGCCCGCUCCCCCCUCCCCCACCCCGCGCUGACUUUCACAAGCCAUUAAUUCUGCACCGAAGGAAUUUUCUAAAAGGCCUUUCCCCCAGCGUUUUUUCCCCUUAUCCUAAAAUAAAAUUUUAAAAAAUUUUUUUAAAGAAGUAAGCCGUCGGCUGCUCCGAAUGAUCUGUGUUCCGAGGGGGAAGCUGAUUCCCCAGCUGCCAGGGGAAAUCACAAGGCAAACCGGCUCAAACACGGAAGCCCAGCGUGGCGGGAAGUGCCGCCCCUGCUGGGGGAGGGGGAUGCAGGCUGGGGGAGGGGGACACGGGACUCGGGGACUAGACGUCCUGAGCAUGCUGGCCUCGGCUGAACUUGGUCUCCAGGGACAGUUAGCCUCACAGGCCCAAAAUACCCCCUGACCCCAGCACCGUCCUCCUUAAAGGCUAAUGAGCAUGAGUCUUUCAAAACUCAAGUUCUCCUGAGAGCAGGGAAGGCUCGGCUAUCCCCGCAGCGCCCUCCAAGUCACAGGGCCAUCUUUCUCUCACACAAAGCUGGUCAGACCCUCCCUACCUACAACCCAGCUCCUGGCUGUCCUCGGGAUCAAGCCCCAGCAGUCCAGCCUCGCAUUCAAGGCCUUCGUGCCCCAGCUCCUGCCAGCUCCCAGGCCUCCAGUCU
rnacentral:lncRNA from 1 species